UACGUAGGGGGCGUGCGUUGUCCGGAUUCAUUGGGCGUAAAGAGCUCGUAGGCGGCUUGGCAAGUCGGGUGUAAAACCUCCAGGCUCAACCUGGAGAGGCCACCCGAUACUGCCAUGGCUAGAGUCCGGUAGGGGACCACGGAAUUCCUGGUGUAGCGGUGAAAUGCGCAGAUAUCAGGAGGAACACCGGUGGCGAAGGCGGUGGUCUGGGCCGGAACUGACGCUGAGGAGCGAAAGCGUGGGGAGCGAACAGG
rnacentral:rRNA from 1 species